ensembl:lncRNA
GAAGAAAUCAAUGCUCAUAUCGCUUCCAUUAACUCUGAAUGUUUACAUAUUAUAUCCAACAUAUAUUAUAAAAGUAUAUACAUAUAUAUGAAUAAUUCAAAAAAUUACCCAAUGAAUUGUGUGAAUGAUGAUAGUGGUUAUACUGCCGAUAGAAGAACAACAAAAAAAAACUCAUCAAGUUGUAAUGAUACACUAAGUACAGACUUUACGUUACUUGACAAAGAUGUAGAAUUAAAAAAAAAAAUGUACAUAUUUUUAUUAACAUGUUUUGUUUUAUCACUAGCAUGUUCUUUUAGCUCCAAAAAAACAAGAAGUGAAGCAUAUAUAAAACUACAACAAUUUCUGUUUAAUGAAAAUUAUAUUUUUAAAACUAUUCAAAAAGGGGCCAAUCAACAAGAAAAUAACAAAACUAAUAAUAAAAAUGAAAUCAAUAAUAAAAAUGAUAAAAAUUCACAGCAUGAAAAAUAUGUAUAUAAAGACGAAAAAUUGAUUGAUUUGAUUAGCAAUUUUAUUAUUUUGCCAUUAAUUACGUAUAACUAUUAUUUCCCAUUUAUAUGUAAAAACAUGCACGAAGGUGAUAUUAUCAGUGAUAACGAAGAGCAGACAACAAAUAUGAACAACAAUAAUCAAAAUACCAUUACCAAUUGGGAUGCCAAAAAAAGAUAUUACAAAGAGUCAUUGUUAACAUACAAUUUAAAUAAUAAAAAAAGUAAAAAUAUAUUUGAUACAAUGAAGAAUGAUAAUGUAUACGAAAAUUGUGGCUGUAUUAUAAAUAAUAAGAAUAUAGAAACGAAUGGACAUAAUAUGAAUGUAUUAAAUAAUGUUUUUAGUUAUGCUAAUGAUCAUUAUAUACAUACCAUAUUACAUAAACAGUAUAACUAUUACUUCAGUUAUCUGUAUGCCAAAAAAAUGCUAAGUUAUGACAAUGUUUGUUAUCGUAAAAGCAUGAGUAUCAGUUUUGUAAGUCACAUCAUUUUAUCUUUCUUGUAUUCUUUACUAAAAUAUUCGGGUAAUGACACUUCUGAUGAAUACAAAUAUGAUGCUAAUUGUAGUGACAGUGUUGGUUAUAGUGAUAGUGUUUGUCCCAGUGCUGAGACAUACCCAAGUGGAACUACCGAACAAACAUCUACUUGUUGUCCGCCUCAAGAAGUUAUAAAUUUAUACGAAUUGCUAUGUAUAAACAACGAAAAAGUUAGUAAUAAAGUUUUAAAAAAGAAUAAAUGUGAAAAAGAUUGUAUUUACUAUUUUUUAAAACACUUUUAUCAUGCUUUAUUAACAAUAAAAGAAGAAACGACAAAAAUUUUAAAUAUAUAUAAAGAAACAUUUAUUGAAAAUAUAAAAAAUAUAAUUUAUGUUUCUUCAUCUUAUGUAUAUACACUAAGCGGUAAUCAUCGCAUAAAUUGCUUUUCUCACAUAAAAAAUGGUUUCCUUUUUUUAAACGAAGAAGAAAAAAAACAUGUCAAAUCAUACAAUGAACAACAUUUGGAACAAAAUAAAAAUAAAAUACUAAACAUAGACGAACAAAUCUUAAAAAAUAUAUGCAAAUUGCAAGUUAAUGUAAGAAUUAAUAUUGUUUUAGUUUAUUAUAUAUUAUGCUCCGAUAAUAAUCCAAAUGACCAACUGAAAAGCAUUUUUGAUGAAUUAUUAACAAAUUUGUUAAGCAAAUAUAUUGACCACUCGUAUGAACAAAAUAAUGACAUAACCAACGGUGCAAACAAGAAUAACAAAGAAGAGAAAGGCGAACAAAAGGAACAAUUACCGAGCGGAAAAGUCGAUACACAGGAUGACAAGAAACAGGCACAAGGCCAAGAAAAAGAACAAAAACAGGAAGGAGAAGGAGAAGGAGAAGGAGGACAAGAGGAAGAACAAAAACAGGAAAAAGAACAAAAACAGGAAAAAGAACAAAAACAGGAAGAAGAACAAAAACAGGAAAAAGAACAAAAACAAAAACAGGAAGGAGAACAAAAACAAGACCAAGAACAAAUAGAAAAACAAGACCA